rnacentral:rRNA from 1 species
AUGUGUACGCAACCGUUGGCCAACUCUGACCACUCCAACUUCCUGCUCCUCUCUUCUAAUUCAUCUUUUCUCCUAUCCAAGUAUGCGUGUGCGCAGCUGAAGUUCAACAAUUGGGCAGAGAGCCGGAGACGGCGAGCGUCAGCGUCGCAGAGGAGUAUGGCCGCCUCUGAUGCUGCGCACAGGCUUGAGGCAGUGUCAUCAAACCCCGUCGGAUUGCAUGUCCACAGUCCACCCGAGCUCCAUGUCCAGCUAUGUCCGACGCAAGGACGCAAGGUCCUAUCUGACCUCUUUUCUUUAUCUGAAACAAGCACGAAGAAGCAUCAGGUAUUUGAUGCUCUUUAG